UGGGGAAUAUUGGACAAUGGGGGGAACCCUGAUCCAGCCAUGCCGCGUGUGUGAAGAAGGCCUUAUGGUUGUAAAGCACUUUAAGCGAGGAGGAGGCUACUCUAGUUAAUACCUAGGGAUAGUGGACGUUACUCGCAGAAUAAGCACCGGCUAACUCUGUACCAG
rnacentral:rRNA from 1 species